rnacentral:rRNA from 1 species
GAUGAACGCUGGCUACAGGCUUAACACAUGCAAGUCGAGGGGAAACGACGGGGAAGCUUGCUUCCCCGGGCGUCGACCGGCGCACGGGUGAGUAACGCGUAUCCAACCUGCCUCUGACUGAGGGAUAACCCGUCGAAAGUCGGCCUAAUACCUCAUGGCAUCGUCUGCGGGCAUCCAACGACGAUUAAAGAUUUCAUCGGUCAGGGAUGGGGAUGCGUCUGAUUAGCUUGUUGGCGGGGUAACGGCCCACCAAGGCUACGAUUAGUAGGGGUUCUGAGAGGAAGGUCCCCCACAUUGGAACUGAGACACGGUCCAAACUCCUACGGGAGGCAGCAGUGAGGAAUAUUGGUCAAUGGGCGGGAGCCUGAACCAGCCAAGUAGCGUGCAGGAGGACGGCCCUAUGGGUUGUAAACUGCUUUUAGGCGGGGAUAAAGUGAGGGACGUGUCCUUCAUUGCAGGUACCGCAUGAAUAAGGACCGGCUAAUUCCGUG